AGGGAAAUGUUUAUUCAUCAGAUCAGCAUAAUGAGAACAGCUCUGAAAACCAGGCUCCCUCAGGGCUAACCUGUGCAGUCUGCAGGUCGACCUACAACGCGCACGAUCGUCGUCCGCUUAUCUUCUCCAGCUGCGGCCACACCUUCUGCGAGGAAUGCCUUAGGACGGAGAACCGCAAGAGUGUGUUCCAGUGCCCUUCUUGCCGGCAGGACCGCGACCAGUUCGGA